rnacentral:misc_RNA from 1 species
AAGUCGUAACAAGGUUUCCGUAGGUGAACCUGCGGAAGGAUCAUUAAAGAGAUAGGGUCCUUCGGGGCCCGACCUCCAACCCUUUGUCUAUCAAACCUCUGUUGCCUCGGCGGGCCGUCGGUUACCUUUACGGGUGCCGCCGUCGGCCUCCGCGCUCUCGAGUGCCCGCCGCAGGACUAUUUAAACUCUUUGUCAAACAAGUAUAAUCUGAGUGGAAUUUAAUGCUUCAAUUAAAACUUUUAACAACGGAUCUCUUGGUUCUG